rnacentral:rRNA from 1 species
CCUACGGGAUGCACCAGUGGGGAAUAUUGCACAAUGGGCGCAAGCCUGAUGCAGCCAUGCCGCGUGUAUGAAGAAGGCCUUCGGGUUGUAAAGUACUUUCAGCGAGGAGGAAGGCGUUAAGGUUAAUAACCUUGGCGGUUGACGUUGCUCGCAGAAAAAGCACCGGCUAACUCCGUGCCAGCAGCCGCGGUAAUACGGAGGGUGCAAGCGUUAAUCGGAAUUACUGGGCGUAAAGCGCACGCAGGCGGUCUGUCAAGUCGGAUGUGAAAUCCCCGGGCUCAACCUGGGAACUGCAUUCGAAACUGGCAGGCUAGAGUCUUGUAGAGGGGGGUAGAAUUCCAGGUGUAGCGGUGAAAUGCGUAGAGAUCUGGAGGAAUACCGGUGGCGAAGGCGGCCCCCUGGACAAAGACUGACGCUCAGGUGCGAAAGCGUGGGGAGCAAACAGGAUUAGAUACCCCAGUAGUC